UCCAUGAUGAGUUGCUUGCUGUGGAAAUCAGUAACUGUCCUGAGCCUGGUUUGGGCUGUUGGAGGUGAGUGAGCUCAUGCUAAUUAGCUAUUUCUGGUAUCCUAUUUUGAUAAGUAAUUUGCACCCAUAAAAUUAUUUCUUCAAUGUAUUUAAACGAGGUAGCUAUCUCUGUUUGCAACACAAGCAUAAAUACAGCUCCAAAUUUGCUUGGUCUCUAUAGAGGUAUACAUGUAGCGGUGUCGCUUAAAUUAUACCUCGGUGGGUUUGCAUGCGCACAUGCAGUGGCAUGGUAAUGUGUGUGUGUGUCUGUCUGUGUAGAGUCUGUAGACUGCUAUAUAUAUAUAUAACUGCUCAAUGAUCAAUGAAGUACAAGUAAGAGCUUCUAUAGGCUUCUAGUCACGUUUUUGGAUUUCAAUUUGUAAAAUAAUGCUUCGUUCUCGAGUUAUACCUAGUUUUCAAAAUAGUGCCUGGCAAACCUUGUACAUAACUCUACUUAGUAGUUACCUCUAGGCAUAGCCCCACGAGAAAUACGGUAAAUCUGACUGUAUUCCAGCUGAAAUUACUCAACCGUUGCAAUUCGACGAAACUAACAGCUUCAUAUAUAAGUUUUAGCCACAUUCUCUUGGAUUUGAUUCAUGGAUUUGCAACUAAAGCUUCUUGAACAGUGCAAGCCUACCCAAACCCAAAUCACAAGGCAAGUCGAGUUAUGGCUAGUUUUACAGUGAAAUCUGUUGCAGCAUCAUCUGUUCGCACACAUUUUUUUGACUUAGCCUUGCACUAAAGCACUUGUCUAUAGCUGUUUGUUAGCUACACGAGUCAAAAAAGAGCUGCACUGCCAGAGGCAGCAGCCCUUGUGAACUCUGACCUCAUUGCAGAUCCACCCCUUUUUCCAUUGACAGGAAAUGAAAGAGAGAAUAAUUUGACAAAAUAAAACUUCUAUAGAUCUACAUACUUCUAUCCUUGGCUUCAUUAAUUAAGCCAUCAGAUAUAUAUGAGCUUCUGUUUCCAAUAAGCUCCUCUUCUAUAUUAAAUCCAUGCAUGUAUGCAUGGAAUUCAAUUUGUUUAUUGUCAACAAUUGCAAAUGCAAACAUUAUUUCCUGAUACUUUUGAGCGAAGCAAAAUAUGACGAGAGGUGUUUGCACAGCGCUGCAGCUUGCAACAUUUAUUAUUUUUGCACCCUAUUGGCAGCUAUAUACAAUAAAUUAAGCUGUGCUUUCCACAAAUCAUAUCGUUUUGCAUUAUUGUGUUGCUAGCUUUUCAUUUAACCACUGCGAAGCAUCAACUGCGGUGAUUUUCAAGAAUAUAAAAGCUGUCUUGUAAUUGGUUAUUGCUGAUCAUGUGACCUACAGCCAAUGACAUACAUCAAAUCCAGUCAUGCAUGUGAAUGUACUUUAAAGGACUUAUUGUACACUUUUUCUAUCAUCAUUCAAGUCAUCUAAAAGUGCAGCUAGCUUUUUUCUAAUCUGCAAAACUAGUAUGAACAGGGUUUUCAGCUUUGUGAUCAGCAAUAAAACCUUUAACACAAUAAAUGUGAUCAGCAAUAAAACCUCUAACACACUUAGCUAUAGCCAACGUGUUUUAAUGCUAGUGCACUUGGAUGAUGCAAUAAUGCUUGUCACACAUUAAAACUCUUAUUUGCUAGCUAAGUGUGAAGUACUACUCUCUUCUAUAUACACUGCAUGAAUGUGCAUGAUUUAGCAUGAUUCACGGUUUAUGUAUUGCAAACUUGGUUAGACCGUUCUCUGUUAUUAAUUGUACUUGUUGUGUUUGUGUCAUUACUUGUAUAUAUAACUAUCGAUAGUUAACGAUAGUUUAAUUGACUUGUUUAUUGCAGCUAUAUAAUUAUAGCUGCAAUAAACAAGUCAACAUUGAAAAUAUCAUUAAUAGAAAGAAAUAUUAAUAACACUGACCAACUUGUUGAUACAAGAAGCAACAAAUUCAGUUCCCAAAAAGCUUCAUUUUUAUUGGCAGGGUAAUCAUUAGAGUAACUCGCCGAACUCCGUCAGACAUCAAAGUGCGUCAGGUAAAAGGGCGUGUAACGCACAAACAAAACAAGACUGAUUCAAACUAAUUACAUACACUAACAGAUGGCCAUGGGCCUAUUAUCCAGCGAAAACUUGGAUAGGCCAAGUCGCUUCCAGUCCGAGCAGUGAUAACUUGAAAAAAAAUACCGAAUUUUUCGAUUUUCGUCAGAACAUACCGAUCCCUGUUUUUGCCAAACUACACAGCUAGAGCUAACUGACACAAGGUAAGACAUCCUGACCAUACAACCGUCAUAGAGGUAGAUGAGAGCCUUCAGACUAGUGUGAAAGCCUUCUGGAACAACGCAAUAGAGAGCUAAGCUGAUGUACAAAGAUAGAAAAUAGAUGAGAGAAAGAAAAAAGGGGAUUCUCCAGAUUCUGGUGAAUAAACUAACGCAUGCGCACUAACACCAUGCAAUAGGUACCAGGCCAUAUUUUAAUCGGCCUGGAAUCGAGGCUAGAGUACAUCUAGCCUCAAUUCCAGGUCGCCCUCGAAACUCUGAUCAGUGCCUUUCUUCUUCCCUGCGGCCUGGAAUCGAGACUUGCAUACAGCAUACAUAUGCAAUGGUAUAGCUUGUCGUCAACUAGGGUUUUUAACGUACACUCAAUACGGAAGAGUUGGAAUGCUAGGGUGAGUGUAAUAAAAAUAAGCUCAUAAUUGUUGACUAUACAUGCAGUUGAACCUCUUAUAACGGUCUCUCUAAAUAGCGGACCGCUCUGUUAUAGCGGACAGCAUGCCUUGUACCAACUGCUUUCAUUUAUUGUACAGAGUUUCAAUGACAUCUCAUUGAAUUCUGAUUUAUUGUGUUUAUCAUUUCAAUCACCAUAAUUAUAUAGUUUCACCCAAUCUUCAUCAACCACUCGGACAUGGCUGGACGAGCUUCGUUGCUUUGGAACUGAGAGUAGACUGAUUGAUUGUAGGCGUAACACUAUCGGUGAUGAAGAUUGCACCCACACACAAGAUGUUGCUUUAGUGUGCAGAUCUACUGUAACAGGUAUACAAAAGAAAGAUAUGAUCAGGAAUAGCGCUAUAUAAUUAACCCUCGGUACGCCGCAGCACAACGGGGCAUAGUAAUUGGUCAGUCUGUCUGUCUGUGUAUUCUGAGUCUACUCACCUGCAUGGAUGAGAUAGCACUGUGUUUGCACAAUGGAUAGCCUCAACACAACAAGGUAGUAAUUUUAAAUUUGCAGAUUUUGAUGUUAAAGCUUCGUUGUUAAAUAAAAGCGAGCAGAAGCUAAAAAGCUCGAAUCUGCCACAUCGGCCUAGAGAUGUACACGCGGCUUUGACUCGAGGCUGUAGACUCACUAAACCUCAAAUUAAUGCCGAGGGUUUGCACUUCAGUGCUCUAGUUAUAACAGUUCAAUUCGCCAUACAGCAUGCAUGCAGGUAAUGAAUUGUGUUAUUUAGGCUCUUCGGCAAAUGGAGACUUGAGGCUGGUAGGAAACUUAGGCCAAACAGGAGGCUCCUCUGGCAGACUGGAGGUCUACUACAGUGGACGAUGGGGGACAGUGUGUGACAACAUGCAGUUUCAAUCCAAAUGAUGCAACGGUGGCUUGUCGUCAACUAGGGUUCUCAACCUACACUCGAUACGGAAGAGUUGGAAUGCUAGGUUUCCCUCAAUCUUCAUCAACCACUCGAACAUGGCUGGAUGACCUUCGUUGCUUAGGAACUGAGAACAGAUUGAUUGCUUGUCAUGCUAACGCUAUUGGAGUUGAAGAUUGCACCCACACACAAGAUAUGGCCUUGGUGUGCGGAGCAGCAUCCAAUUCAUCAUCAAAUUCAUCAUCAAAUUCAUCAUCCAGCGUCUCGAUUGGCAUUGGAGUAGCCAUUACUGUCAUCAUCAUCUGCAUAGUUGUGGUUAUCAUCUCGUUUAUCUUUGGUUUAAUAAGGAAAGGAAUUUGCCUUGUUGGCCUGACACGUUUCACACGCAGGACUCCCGUAGUCACUACCACUUCUGCGACAAAUGUAACGGUUUCAAAUACACAAGAUACCUGCUCACCAACUUAGAAGUAUAGUAUUAACUGACUGUUGAAAAUUGAACUUUAUAGACAAAGUGGCAUGUUCACUGAAAGUUAUAUACAUUGUAGCAAGACAAAUUACUGAUAGUAUAGAUAUAGCAUAAUUAUUAGUAUCUGUUGU